AUGUCCCCACAGGAGAAAAGGCGUAAGAAGCGGCCCAACAGAUCAAGUGGUGCUGAGAACCCAAAUCGGACUGAGAAGCACUCCACGAUGCCAGACUCACCUGUGGAUGUGAAGACCCCGUCUAGGCUGACUCCUCCUACCAUGCCACCUCCCCCCACAACUCAAGGAGCUCCGAGAACGAGUUCAUUUACACCGACGACUUUAACUAAUGGCACGAGCCAUUCACCCACAGCCUUGAAUGGCGCCCCCUCGCCGCCCAAUGGCUUUAGCAAUGGGCCUUCCUCUUCUUCCUCCUCUUCUCUGGCUAAUCAACAGCUGCCCCCAGCCUGUGGCGCCAGGCAGCUCAGUAAGCUGAAACGGUUCCUUACUACCCUGCAGCAGUUUGGCAAUGACAUUUCUCCAGAGAUAGGAGAGAGAGUCCGCACCCUCGUACUAGGACUGGUGAACUCUACUUUGACAAUUGAAGAAUUUCAUUCCAAACUGCAAGAAGCUACUAACUUCCCACUGCGACCUUUUGUCAUCCCAUUUCUGAAGGCCAACCUGCCCCUGCUGCAGCGCGAGCUCCUCCACUGCGCAAGGCUGGCCAAACAGAACCCUGCCCAGUACCUCGCCCAGCAUGAACAGCUGCUUCUGGAUGCCAGCACCACCUCACCUGUUGACUCCUCAGAGCUGCUUCUCGAUGUGAACGAAAACGGGAAGAGGCGAACUCCAGACAGAACCAAAGAAAAUGGCUUUGACAGAGAGCCUUUGCACUCAGAACAUCCAAGCAAGCGACCAUGCACUAUUAGCCCAGGCCAGCGGUACAGUCCAAAUAACGGCUUAUCCUACCAGCCCAAUGGCCUGCCUCACCCCACCCCACCUCCACCUCAGCAUUACCGUUUGGAUGAUAUGGCCAUUGCCCACCACUACAGGGACUCCUAUCGACACCCCAGCCACAGGGACCUCAGGGACAGAAACAGACCUAUGGGGUUGCAUGGCACACGUCAAGAAGAAAUGAUUGAUCACAGACUAACAGACAGAGAAUGGGCAGAGGAAUGGAAACAUCUUGACCAUCUGCUGAACUGCAUCAUGGACAUGGUGGAGAAGACGCGGCGCUCCCUCACGGUGCUGCGGCGCUGCCAGGAGGCCGACCGCGAGGAGCUCAAUUACUGGAUCCGGCGCUACAGCGACGCCGAGGACCUGAAGAAAGGCGGCGGCGGUGGCGGCGGCCACUCCAGACAGCAGAGUCCGGUCAACCCGGACCCGGUUGCACUAGAUGCGCAUCGGGAAUUCCUUCACAGGCCUGCUUCUGGAUACGUGCCAGAGGAGAUCUGGAAGAAAGCUGAGGAGGCGGUCAACGAGGUGAAGCGCCAGGCGAUGACCGAGCUGCAGAAGGCCGUGUCCGAGGCCGAGCGGAAGGCCCACGACAUGAUCACCACCGAGCGCGCCAAGAUGGAGCGCACGGUGGCCGAGGCCAAGCGGCAGGCGGCGGAGGAUGCGCUGGCCGUCAUCAACCAGCAGGAGGAUUCGAGCGAGGUGAGGUGCCGGAGGGGGGCUCCCAGGGCAGGCCGGCCGUCCCUCGAACGCCACGGCUCGCUUUGGAGGCCGGGAGGUCAUCAGUCAAAACGGGUGUCUGACUGA
rnacentral:lncRNA from 12 species